CACCUGCUGCCCGGCGUGCCCUGCGGCCGCGCCGCCCCAGGACCUGCCCACCUGCCGCCCAGCCUAGACGCCAGCCCACCUGCCGCCUCGCCCUGGGACCUGCCCACGUGCCUUCAGCCUCGCCAGGAGCCACCUGCCGUUCGCUUCGCCCAGGAACCGGCCCACUUUCCUUCAACCCCGCCCAGACGCCUGCCCACCUGCCUUAAGCCCCGCCCAGGACCUGCCCACCUGCCUUAAGCCCCGCCCAGGACCUGCCCACCUGCUUAAGCCCCGCCCAGGAGCCUGUCCACCUGCCUUAAGCCCCGCCCAGGGACCUGCCCACCUGCCUUAAGCCCCGCCCAGGAGCCUUCCACCUGCCUUAAGCCCCGCCCAGGCGGCUGCUCCCCUCCUUCUGGCCCCGCCCAGGGACCGUCUCACCCGCCAGGGCGCCCACCUGCGUGUGCCCUGUGCCCGCCCCGCCCACCCCGUCGCGUUUCGAAGGAGGGAGGCGGCAGAAGAGCAGAGGUUAAAGUUGAACUGGCUUGGCCAAAAGCCAAGUCUGUCCAGCGCCUUGUUCCAAACCUAAAAUGGCUGCCCUCCUUCGUGCAGUCUUGUGAACAAAUGCUGCGGUUAACCCAGUGUGUCCCAUCUUCCCAGAUGUGAACACUGGAGACUAACAAAUUUAAUCUGUUACAAGCUUUGUGGAAAUGUAAAAUUUUAACAAAUGAUUUUAAAAAGCAACACCACUAUAAUUCCAGCUACAAAUGCAUUAAGAGGUUUGAUUUGGUUAAAAUUGGGGAACUGAUGGAGUAGAACUUGGCUGAGAGAAGGAAUCUUCAAUACAAGAUCAUAAAACAUCACAUUCUAUCUAUGUGAAAUAUCCAGAAUGGAUAAAUUCAUAGACAGAAAACAGAUUGGUGAUUCCCAGGGGUUACAAGAGGGAAAAAGAGAAACUACUUAAUGUGUCUUAUUCUGUUCAGUGCUAUAACAAAACACCAUAAAUGCGUGGGCUUAUAAACAACAGAAAUUUCUUUCUCAUGGUUCUAGAGGCUGGAAGUCCAAGCUCAGGUUUCCAGCACAUUGGUGUCUGGUUCUAGGUGUCCUUCUUCUCACUGGGUCCUCACAGCGUGGAAUGGUGAAGGAAUCUCUCUGGAGUCUCUUUUCAUAAGGCACUAAUUCUUCAUAACCUAAUCACCCCCACGAGUCCCACCUCCAGACAUAUCACAAUGGGAAUUACAACAUUCAGUCUGCAGCACUGGACUGGACUUUGGAGUGCUGGAAAUGUGUUGAACUAGACAGAGGUGGAGACAGCACAAUACUGUGAGUGACCUGAAUACCACUGAAUUGUUCCUUGUGAAAUAGUUAUGCAAAUUUCACCUCCAUAAAUUUUUAAAGAGAAGAGAUGGGGAGGAGAGGAAGAGGGAAGGAAGGGAGAGAAGAAAAGGGUGGCCUGGCAGUGCCACCACCACAGCAGGCUAGGUGGAAUUUAAACACGUUAAAAUUUCAAAUGUAUUCAUGCACAUAUCAAGUUCAGAUCUCCAGUCGUCGGUGUGCUCUGGGAGCCCAAGAGAAUGGGAGUCGCAGGAUUUCAGCACUGAUCGUACUAGGAACCAAGAGUCCUUCUGGUGCUGCUGUAUGCAGACCAUCUCAGGAAGAAAAAAGGAGACUGUGGAAAGGAAUUCUCAAGUAGCAGGUACACAAGGAAAGUACACCUAAUUGAUGCCAGUUGGAGCUCCACCACCAGCUAUAUGGCUCAGAUGAAGUCACACCCCUGGAUCUCAGUUUCUCCAGAAUAAAAUGUGAAAAUUAGACUGAAUGAUGGCCUAUAUCUAACAAAUCCAAAUGUUCUUGUAUUUGAGGCAAGUUCAGAAAUGAUAUGCUCCAGGGGAUGGAGGGGGGAAGUACUGGGGAGCGAUACUGGCCAAAUUAUAUCAUUAUCUUGUGUGCAUGUACAAAUAUGUAACAAUAAAUCCCAUCAUUAUGAACAACUAUUAUGCACCAAUAAAAAAUGUAGGAAAAAAAAUGCUAUGCUCCAGUAAGUAGGAUUUAUCCUAUGGAGCUCUAUGAAUGAAUGGACAAUCUACAGAUGUAAAUUUAAUGAAUGGGCAUGGUUACGAAGAUACCAUACUUAAAACAAAAUUCAAUUUCUAAAAACUGAAAUUUAAAUACUUACCAUUAAAUUAGCAAUUUUGCUCUCUCGUGAUGUGUAUUCUCGUAACAUGUAGGUCUUGUCUGCCUAUGUUUAAAAUGUUUAAAGUUGCAAUAAAUUUAUUUGCAUUGAUUUACAUAUUUCCAAUCCCUGUAAGUCACAGCAAUGCUAGAUACACAUAUGUAAACAAAUUUAAUAUUACCAGGUGAAAGAAACACAAGCAGAGGUGUCCUUUGAAAAAAUACAGGUAUGUGUAUAAAUAAGAUAUGCAAGAGAUUUUAAUUAAGUUAAAACAAUAUUCUUAAGAUUUAGAUUUCACUCUCUGUGGAGGAGAA